ensembl:lncRNA
CAGCCAUGUUGUUUUUGUGACAGAGCUAUCAGCAACAGGUACAGUUGGAAAUCCAUCAUAUUCCGCCCGAAAUAUUUCUCUCUGGACUGUAUAUUCAUCUAACGAUUACUGGAGGCACAGGCGGAGGAAAGGAUCGUCUAAACCGAAGCCUUUCGGAAUCAUUUAGCAGCGCAUUUAUGUCUUUUUCGGCUGUUCGGAGAACUUCAGGGUCAUAGAAGACCAGCACGGCACCAAACAGAGUCUUACACUUCUAAAAGACUGACCAGCUUUAUUUAAACAUGGAUGGAAAAUAAUCAUAAAUGGAUCUGCACAGAGCUUAUGGACAAUAGAGCUACAUAGUACAUAGCCUGGGCGGCCAAUGGGAUUGACAGGUGUGUUCAUCCAUCCUUCACAUGACCAUGUAUCAUCUAAAUGAAGUUGAAAGAUGAGGCCAACACUAGUUGCCUAUGAAAGCAUGCCUAAAAAAGUGGCAAAGUGUUGCAUAAUGUUGCUUUAAAGUGUACAGGCAGAGGCUUCUGGGUAGAAGGCAGAGGCUGCCAGUGGAGGG